UUUGCUCCCUUCGCCACCUUCAUCGGCAGUUCCAGCUUAAUUUCUCACAACAAAAAACUCAUUUCAUCAAUCACUUCAAAUCAUUUUCUUUUGGGAAAUGGCUUCUAAUGUUAAAGCAUCAACUGCUCUUGUUCUUUCUCUUAACCUUCUUUUCUUUGCUUUUGUAAGCUCUCACAACGUGGAAAACCCCGUUUUUAUUCAUCCCGGAGAUGUGUACCAUAAUGGCAGAAUCACUCAUGGUCAUCCCGGUACAUGCAAUCCCCUAAAUCUCGGUGUAUGCCUUGGCCUGUUGGAUUUGGUGGGUGUUAGUGUCGGAAACGUACCUACAGAACCAUGUUGCAGCGUGAUUCAAGGAUUGGUCGAUCUUGAAGCUGCAGUUUGCCUUUGCACUGCUGUCAGAGCCAAUGUGUUGGGCAUUCCCAUCCACCUUCCUAUUUCAUUGAGCCUCUUACUCAAUAAAUGUGGAAGAGAAGUAGCUACGGAAUACAUUUGCAGCCCUUAAAUAGCCUUCUUCCCCACAUUCUUUGCUUUAAUUGUGUCUUGAAGUUUCCGUUUUCUAUUUGUUCCAUUUUUUAUGUUUCCUUUCUGAUUAAGUCUUUGUAUUGUUGCUCAUGAGUUGAGGACGGCUUUCAACCUUCCCUUUCAUUUUUAUUCUAAAUAAAAUGAGAAUAUUAUUUGAACAAAAAAUCCUAUUUUAUCAUAAUGAGUUGGAAGGGGUGUUUUUAGGGGGAAAAAUCAUAAUUAAUAUUUUCAACAUUAUUUUUAAUGUUAUAUGACUACCAAGUGGAUUUUUUAUUUCAAGGUGUCAAACCAGUGAAUUUAAUAGAAGAAUUUUAACAGCUGUGACUGUUGGACUUGAAUUUCUAUAUUCAUAAAAUACAGAGAUUAGAUUCCUCAAAAUACAAGUAGGAGACUAACCUCCUAAUGCACGAAGCGUACAUAUACUUAGAGCAUAUUUUAACCUCCCAAUCAAUUAAUCAAUCCAACGCGAAGCGUGGAAACCAUACCAGUUAGUGUAAAAAUAUUGAUCGCGUAUUUUUAUAUUUCAAUUUCUUUCCUAAAUACUCAGAUAUACAAAUUUUACUUGAAACUCUAUUCUAAUGUGCAAUGUUAUACAUAAACUUUGAUUUUGUGUAAUUUGGUUUCAUCCAAUUUUUAUAAAUCUCUAACACCAUUAGCAAUGCAACACCAUUUUAUAUGUAUAUGUUGCAUCCACAAAUAUUUAUAUUUAUAUUUAUGUGAUGUAAAAUAAAAUAAAUCGAUGUAUUUAUUUCUUUAAAUACAUAUAGUUGAAUUAAAAUCAAAGUUUCAACUAUACAUUUGAACCGCGAUUAAAUUUUCGUGCGCAUAAUUUCACCAAAUUAAAGUCGGUGUAUCAAAGUUCACAUUCAAUCAAAUUUCAUGUACAAUUUUGAGUUUUAUCCCUUUAUUUAGAGACCAGCUACAUUACUUAUUUCAAGUGUUUUACUGAGUUGGUGUGUAAUGUGGGUUCCUAUUUAAGCCAUCAAUUAAAGAAAGAAAAAUGCAUGUGUUGAGCCGAGGGACAGAAAACAUAAAAAAUGGUAAAUGCAGUUGUAGCCGUCUAGGUAAGUUUCUCGUUUUUUUUUCUUUUUCCACCUAACUAUUAAAACUUAAAAAAUGGUCAUUCAACUGUUAGACUUCUCCUUUUAUGGUCACCAGCCAUUAAAUGGCUAAUGGGAAGAUGAUGUAGCGGAUUAUAGAAUUGACAUAAAAGAAACUUUAAACCUCAACCUUUAUACACCGUGCCAAAUUAGUGUUGAUUCUAAAAAAUUAACCCUCAAUGUUUUCACAUUGUGUAAUUUGGUCUUCUUCUUCUUUUUCAAACUUUCAAUUCUUUGUGACCCUUUCACUAAAAAGCUAAAAAAGAAUAUAAAUCCAUCAACUAAAUUUGAUCGGAGAUACAACAAAAACACUCGAAAAUCAAAGAUGAUAAUUUUUCAUCUUUUCUUUCUCUCAAAAUUAGCCCUCAAUGUCACAAAUAAAAGUAAAAUUGCGAGAGAGAGAGAGAGAGAGAGCUAGAGACCUAAUUACACAACGUUUACAUGUUGAAGGUAAAGAUUUUUGGGAUCAAGACUAUAUUGACACAAUGUAGAAAUGUUCAGGGUUAAAGUUGCUAUUACGCCAACUGUAAAAGAUGUCAAGUUAUCUUUUCGUUAAUAAUUUAACAGCUGGUGACCAGAAAAGAAAAUUUCGAAUAAUUGGGUGACCAGAAAAGAAAAUCUCGAAUAGUUGGGUGAUCAUUUUGUAACUUUGCGUUGUUGGGUGACCAUGACAACUCUCAUAUUUAGAGUUAUUUUAGUAUAGUUUUUUUUAUAGAAUUUUAGGGGGUAAGUUGAGCAUUUAGGUUAAAUUUUAGUACAUUUUAUAGUUUUUCAGAUUAAUUAUAUUUUAUUUGAGUUUUAUCAUUUUUAGAGUUAGUUUGGAUUCGUGUGCUAUCUUCCUCUCUAUAUUGUAAGUUUCGGAUGAAGAACGGGGGCCUUGGAGCACGGGGUAAAAUAUAGUGAAGAGAAAUCAUCUGCUCCACCAAACUUGAUUCAGUGUGGUGGAGCACAAUCUUCAAUUAAGAAUUCCAGAUAGCAAGCAGCCCACUCCACUGCGAAUUCUACGUCUAGUGGAGCCAAGCGAUUAAUACCCUAAAAAUAGAGGGUGACGUGAUUAAGCGGAAUAGGAGAGGAAAAUGAGUGAAAAAAAAAAGAACUUGGAGGCCAAGGAACAAUUCUCUUACACUAAGGGGAGCUUCAACCUUGCAAAGACGAGAAGAAAAAGAGAUCUGGAGCGCUUGGCUUUAGUUCGACGAUUAUUUUUAUCUCUAGAUUAUUUUAUUUUUACUUUUUUUUCAAAGCAAGUUUGUUUUGAGUUUCUUCUUGUGAUGUUUUCUCAACGCAACAAGAAAUAAAAUCUAUUUUCUUGGAAUGAUGAUGAAUCAUAUUUUUUAGUUAAUUAAAUAUUUUCUCUUCAACUGUUUCAAUCUCUGUUAAUUAUUUAUUCAGCUUUAUGCUUAUUUACUCUGUUUGUCCGGCCACCAAGUCGUAUUAAUUUGGUGGUCUUGAUUUGUCGUAGAAGAGAAAAAUUAAGGUUUAGGUCUAGACUAAAUAGAUUAGGAUUAACUAUAGUAGCGCUGACGAAUGAGUUAAUUUACAGCUAGGAUAGGAAUAUACCUGAUGCGCCAAUCAACCCAAUAAGCUUUUCCGUAGUGGCGUUGCUCGACUUGCCUAGCACAAGAAUAUAGCUGGUGGGGGAGGGGGAUUAACUUAGCUAGAUAUUGGGAGGGUCUAGUUAAUGCCACAGAAUCAUAGGUUAAUAAUUGUAUAGACUGAACAAUUGAAUGAGAGAUAAUUGAUUAACAUAAUUAGGUAAAUUAGAGUUCCAAGAUCUUUCAAAAUCGAUUGAGAAACUUAGUAAUUUUCAUUUUUUUUAUGUAGUUUAAUAAAAUCUCUUUAAUUCCUUUAGCUUAACUUCAGUAGUAAUUAGAAUUUCUUUUUUUGAUCCAGAUUGGAAAAAUUUGGAUAAUUGAUAUUUAGCAGCUUAAAAUUAAAUUUGGCCCUCAUAGGAAGGGCAUCAUCUUAUCACUGUAUUACUUGAUCAAUACGUGCACUUACAUAAUAAAGUUUCCCACAUAAAACCAGAAAAGAAAUUAACUAGUAAUGGAGUGGCUACCUAUAUAGUUUACCACACCAUUAGUCCUGUUGAGCAGCUCAAAGAUUUUAACAUAUAUAUAUAUAUAUAUAUAUAUAUAUAUAUUUAUGACAGAAACCUUAAUUAGGCCAUGCAUGUCUGCAAAUAUAAUAUAUAUAUACAUAUACUAACAACGUUGUACUCAUGUUACUAAUUAAAUCGAUUAAAGAUGCCUUGUGAUAAAAAAUUCAUCCAUCAUAGACGUGGGAGAAUUUUGCCAGCCAAACAGAUACUCCAAGAUCCAAGAUUCUCCAACUAAUCAGACUUCGUGCCUCCCAUUUUCUAGUUCUAAAAAAGCUUCAAAGUUCAUACAUUCCAGCUAUAAAAACCCUUUGCUCCCUUCGCCACCUUCAUCGGCAGUUCCAGCUUAAUUUCUCACAACAAAAAACUCAUUUCAUCAAUCACUUCAAAUCAUUUUCUUUUGGGAAAUGGCUUCUAAUGUUAAAGCAUCAACUGCUCUUGUUCUUUCUCUUAACCUUCUUUUCUUUGCUUUUGUAAGCUCUCACAACGUGGAAAACCCCGUUUUUAUUCAUCCCGGAGAUGUGUACCAUAAUGGCAGAAUCACUCAUGGUCAUCCCGGUACAUGCAAUCCCCUAAAUCUCGGUGUAUGCCUUGGCCUGUUGGAUUUGGUGGGUGUUAGUGUCGGAAACGUACCUACAGAACCAUGUUGCAGCGUGAUUCAAGGAUUGGUCGAUCUUGAAGCUGCAGUUUGCCUUUGCACUGCUGUCAGAGCCAAUGUGUUGGGCAUUCCCAUCCACCUUCCUAUUUCAUUGAGCCUCUUACUCAAUAAAUGUGGAAGAGAAGUAGCUACGGAAUACAUUUGCAGCCCUUAAAUAGCCUUCUUCCCCACAUUCUUUGCUUUAAUUGUGUCUUGAAGUUUCCGUUUUCUAUUUGUUCCAUUUUUUAUGUUUCCUUUCUGAUUAAGUCUUUGUAUUGUUGCUCAUGAGUUGAGGACGGCUUUCAACCUUCCCUUUCAUUUUUAUUCUAAAUAAAAUGAGAAUAUUAUUUGAACAAAAAAUCCUAUUUUAUCAUAAUGAGUUGGAAGGGGUGUUUUUAGGGGGAAAAAUCAUAAUUAAUAUUUUCAACAUUAUUUUUAAUGUUAUAUGACUACCAAGUGGAUUUUUUAUUUCAAGGUGUCAAACCAGUGAAUUUAAUAGAAGAAUUUUAACAGCUGUGACUGUUGGACUUGAAUUUCUAUAUUCAUAAAAUACAGAGAUUAGAUUCCUCAAAAUACAAGUAGGAGACUAACCUCCUAAUGCACGAAGCGUACAUAUACUUAGAGCAUAUUUUAACCUCCCAAUCAAUUAAUCAAUCCAACGCGAAGCGUGGAAACCAUACCAGUUAGUGUAAAAAUAUUGAUCGCGUAUUUUUAUAUUUCAAUUUCUUUCCUAAAUACUCAGAUAUACAAAUUUUACUUGAAACUCUAUUCUAAUGUGCAAUGUUAUACAUAAACUUUGAUUUUGUGUAAUUUGGUUUCAUCCAAUUUUUAUAAAUCUCUAACACCAUUAGCAAUGCAACACCAUUUUAUAUGUAUAUGUUGCAUCCACAAAUAUUUAUAUUUAUAUUUAUGUGAUGUAAAAUAAAAUAAAUCGAUGUAUUUAUUUCUUUAAAUACAUAUAGUUGAAUUAAAAUCAAAGUUUCAACUACACAUUUGAACCGCGAUUAAAUUUUCGUGCGCAUAAUUUCACCAAAUUAAAGUCGGUGUAUCAAAGUUCACAUUCAAUCAAAUUUCAUGUACAAUUUUGAGUUUUAUCCCUUUACUUAGAGACCAGCUACAUUACUUAUUUCAAGUGUUUUACUGAGUUGGUGUGUAAUGUGGGUUCCUAUUUAAGCCAUCAAUUAAAGAAAGAAAAAUGCAUGUGUUGAGCCGAGGGACAGAAAACAUAAAAAAUGGUAAAUGCAGUUGUAGCCGUCUAGGUAAGUUUCUCGUUUUUUUUUCUUUUUCCACCUAACUAUUAAAACUUAAAAAAUGGUCAUUCAACUGUUAGACUUCUCUUUUUAUGGUCACCAGCCAUUAAAUGGCUAAUGGGAAGAUGAUGUAGCGGAUUAUAGAAUUGACAUAAAAGAAACUUUAAACCUCAACCUUUAUACACCGUGCCAAAUUAGUGUUGAUUCUAAAAAAUUAACCCUCAAUGUUUUCACAUUGUGUAAUUUGGUCUUCUUCUUCUUUUUCAAACUUUCAAUUCUUUAUGACCCCUUCACUAAAAAGCUAAAAAAGAAUAUAAAUCCAUCAACUAAAUUUGAUCGGAGAUACAACAAAAACACUCGAAAAUCAAAGAUGAUAAUUUUUCAUCUUUUCUUUCUCUCAAAAUUAGCCCUCAAUGUCACAAAUAAAAGUAAAAUUGCGAGAGAGAGAGAGAGAGAGAGAGCUAGAGACCUAAUUACACAACGUUUACAUGUUGAAGGUAAAGAUUUUUGGGAUCAAGACUAUAUUGACACAAUGUAGAAAUGUUCAGGGUUAAAGUUGCUAUUAUGCCAACUGUAAAAGAUGCCAAGUUAUCUUUUUGUUAGUAAUUUAACAGCUGGUGACCAGAAAAGAAAAAUUUGAAUAAUUGGGUGACCAGAAAAGAAAAUCAUGAAUAGUUUGGUGAUCAUUUUGUAACUUUGCGUAGUUGGGUGACCAUAAUAACUCUCAUAUUUAGAGUUAUUUUAGUAUAGUUUUUUUUAUAGAAUUUUAGGGGGUAAAUUGAGCAUUUUGGUUAAAUUUUAGUAUAUUUUAUUUGAGUUUUAUCAUUUUCAGAGUUAGUUUGGAUUCGUGUGCUAUCUUCCUCUCUAUAUUGUAAGUUUUGGAUGAAGAACGGGGGGCAUGGAGCACAGGGUAAAAAAUAGUGAAGAGAAAUCAUCUGCUCCACCAAACUUGAUUCAGUGUGGUGGAGCACAAUCUUCAAUUAAGAAUUUCAGAUAGCAAGCAGCCCACUCCACUGCGAAUUCUACGUCUGGUGGAGCCAAGCGAUUAAUACCCUAAAAAUAGAGGGUGAUGUGAUUAAGCGGAAUAGGAGAGGAAAAUGGGUGAAAAAAAAUAACUUGGAGGCCAAGGAACAAUUCUCUUACACUAAGGGGAGCUUCAACCUUGCAAAGACGAGAAGAAAAAGAGAUCUGGAGCGCUUGGCUUUAGUUCGACGAUUUUUUUUAUCUCUAGAUUAUUUUAUUUUUACUUUUUUUUCAAAGCAAGUUUGUUUUGUGUUUCUUCUUGUGAUGUUUUCCCAACGCAACAAGAACUAAAAUCUAUUUUCUUGGAAUGAUGAUGAAUCAUAUUUUUUAGAUAAUUAAAUAUUUUCUCUUCAACUGUUUCAAUCUCUAUUAAUUAUUUAUUCAGCUUUAUGCUUAUUUACUCUGUUUGUCUGGCCACCAAGUCGUAUUAAUUUGGUGAUCUUGAUUUGUCGUAAAAGAGAAAAAUUAAGGUUUAUGUCUAGACUAAAUAGAUUAGGAUUAACUUUAGUAGCGCUGACGAAUGAGUUAAUUUACAGCUAGGAUAGGAAUAUACCUGAUGCGCAAAUCAACCCAAUAUGCUUUUCCAUAGUGGCGUUGCUCGAUUUGCCUAGCAUAGGAAUAUAGCUGGUGGGGGAGGGGGAUUAACUUAGCUAGAUACUGGGAGGGUCUAGUUAAUGCCACAGAAUCAUAGGUUAAUAAUUGUAUAGACUGAACAAUUGAAUGAGAGAUAAUUGAUUAACUUAAUUAGGUAAAUUAGAGUUCCAAGAUCUUUCAAAAUCGAUUGAGAAACUUAGUAAUUUUCAUUUUUUAUGUAGUUUAAUAAAAUCUCUUUAAUUCCUUUAGUUUAACUUAAGUAGUUAUUAGAAUUUCUUUUCUUGAUCCAGAUUGGAUAAAAUUCGAUAAUUGAUAUUUAGCAGCUUAAAAUUAAAUUUGGUCCUCAUAGGAAGGGCAUCAUCUUAUCACUGUAUUACUUGAUUAAUACGUGCACUUACAUAAUAAAGUUUCCCACAUAAAACCAGAAAAGAAAUUAACUAGUAAUGGAGUGACUACCAAUAUAGUUUACCACACCAUUAGUCCUGUUGAGCAGCUCAAAGAUUUUAACAUAUAUAUAUUUAUGACAGAAAUCUUAAUUAGGCCAUGCAUCUCUGCAAAUAUAAUAUACAUACAUAUAUAUACAUUACUAACAACGUUGUACUCAUGUUACUAAUUAAAUCGAUUAAAGAUGCCUUGUGAUAAAGAUAUCAUCCAUCAUAGACGUGGGAGAAUUUUAUAUAUAUAUAGUUGCCAGCCAAACAGAUACUCCAAGAUCCAAGAUUGUUCAACUAAUCAGACUUCGUGCCUCUCAUUUUCUAGUUCUAAAAAAGCUUCAAAGUUCAUACAUUCCAGCUAUAAAAACCCUUUGCUCCCUUUGCCACCUUUAUCGGUAGUUCCAGCUUAAUUUCUCUAAACAAAACACUCAUUUCAUCAAUCACUUCAAAUCAUUUUCUUUUGGAAAAUGGCUUCUAAUGUUAAAGCAUCAACUGCUAUUGUUCUUUCUCUUAACCUUCUUUUCUUUGCUUUUGUAAGCUCUCACAACGUGGAAAACCCCGUUUUUAUUCAUCACGGAGAUGUGUACCAUAAUGGCAGAAUCACUCAUGGUCAUCCCGGUACAUGCAAUCCCCUAAAUAUCGGUGUAUGCCUUGGCCUGUUGGAUUUGGUGGGUGUUAGUGUCGGAAACGUACCUACAGAACCAUGUUGCAGCGU
rnacentral:lncRNA from 1 species